rnacentral:rRNA from 1 species
UUGGAGGGCAAGUCUGGUGCCAGCAGCCGCGGUAAUUCCAGCUCCAAUAGCGUAUAUUAAAGUUGUUGCAGUUAAAGAGCUCGUAGUUGAAUUUUAGGCCUGGUUGGACGGUCUGCUCUAGGGUUUGUACUGUCCUGACUGGGUCUUACCUUCUGGUGAGCUGUCGUAUUGUUUACUCAGUGCGGCAGGGAACCAGGACUUUUACUUUGAAAAAAUUAGAGUGUUUAAAGCAGGCAUUCGCUUGAAUACAUUAGCGUGGAAUAAUAGAAUAGG